UUGCUCAUCUCCUCGUAGAUGUAGGUCGGUUGACCGAACCACAUUAAAUGCUUGUGUCUCUUUUGGUAUAUUUCUCGUUUGUCUUCUUACUCAUGAUCAUUCGAGGUUUGCUUUGCUAGAUUUCGCAUGACAGCUAAUUAUUUCGGUCCUAACAACAAGGUUCCUUACAAGGAAGAGUUCUACAAGGAGACAUGUGGCUAGGUUAAAAAAGUACUUCAUUAUUUUGCUUUGUCUAAACAGGACGGAUUUCAAUUGGUUAUUCCUUUUCUCUAUUUGAGAUUAAAAUUGUAGCAAUGAUUGAGAAGUGGGCUAUCAGGAUGCCUUUGAUGAUGAGGAGCACUCCUACCUCCUAAAUGUCCUAUAUCUUCAUUUUACAUCUGAUUUCUAACUGAUAUGGGAAGUUAUUUUGCUAAUAAAAACUAACAUUUACAUGCCUUGCAUAAUAUUCUGUAUAGGCAUAGAGCAAUUCAGUGAUGGUCUUAAACUAUAGUUGGAUACGUAGACUCAAAACCUCAUGUCGAACAUGUAUGGUUCACAAUUUCAGUAUCCAUAAUUACAAUUUGCUUUAUCGGCAAGUACUUUCUUGUUUUAAUAAGCUGACUUAGAGUUGUUGAGUGGAAUGUUUCUCUGUCAAAGAGCCUUGAUUUUUAAA